GGGAUGUAAAACUCUACACAAAUGAUUUAAAAACACAAAACCUCUACACACUUCUAAUAUGCACAUUUACACAACUAAAUGGCAAUAUUAACAAAAGGAAAAACAUUCAACAAAUUCCUUUAAGCCUUAACACAAACAAAAGGAAGCAUCUCUAUGGAAAAAGAAACCCCUCCACUUGGUUUGACCCGCUGAUGUCAUGUGUGACCUCAUCAGGAUUUUAAAAUGAGGAAAUGCCAGGUGGGCGUUUCCCCACACCUGACCCUCAUGAAAACUGAAAAGACAAACAAAGACAGUGUAGAGUGGAAAGACAGCCAGGACAGAGAGCAGAAGGAAGACACAGAGCAAAUGGCCCAGCUUCUGCAGUAGCAAUACCUUUACAGGCUACGGAUCGUAUACUGAACCUGUCCCUGGCCAACCACCUCAUCUACAGUGUGGAAACAUGCAUGUUGUUGAUUGUGAGCCUACCAGAAACAAUAAUUAUUAUUCACAGGAGCUAAAUGUACUGUAUAACAACAGGUUGUGUGUGCAACAACCUCCUGUAGAUGUAUGUCAGGGUGAUUCUGGUGGUGGAGUGAUAUACAACAACAUGAUUUAUGGUGUAAUCAGUUCUGGUUGUAUUUAUGCCUGUACUGAACCAGCUGUUACUGCGAAUGUUUGUUCUUACAUGAACUCUAUAAACCUGAAAAUUAAUCCAAGAAAUAAUGGAAAGAACAGUGAAUGAAAAUAACAUUCAGAAUAAACAAUC